UACUAGAGUAGCACUCGCAUAUCAAUAAGCGGAGGAAAAGAAACUAACAAGGAUUCCCCUAGUAACGGCGAGUGAAGCGGGAAGAGCUCAAAUUUGAAAUCUUAAAGGGUUUCCCUUUACGAAUUGUAGUUUAAAGAAGUGUUUUCUGUUGAGGUUUUGGUAAAAGUUCUUUGGAAUAGGACAUCAUAGAGGGUGAGAAUCCCGUAUUUGACCUUUACUUUCAACUUUGUGAUACACUUUCAAAGAGUCGGAUUGUUUGGGAAUGCAGUCCAAAAUGGGUGGUAAAUUUCAUCUAAAGCUAAAUAUUGGCGAGAGACCGAUAGCGAACAAGUACCGUGAGGGAAAGAUGAAAAGAACUUUGAAAAGAGAGUUAAACAGUACGUGAAAUUGUCAAAAGGGAAGCGUUUGACACCAGUGUUGUUUUUCUGAAAAUCAAUUAAAGAACUGUUUAUGCUAGGCUGUUUAGACUUUAUCAGCUAUCUGUUUAGUUUUGAGCUUUUCUUUAAUGCACUUUUCAGUUAACAAGUCAACAUCAAUUUCUUUUGCUGUAAAAAAGCUUGAGGAAGGUGGCUUGAGAUUCGUCUUAAGUGUUUAUAGCCUCUUGCCUAUGCAGUCGGAGAGAUUGAGGUCUGCAGCGUAGAUCCUUCGGGGCUAAAUGCAUUUGUGCUAAGUUAUAGCAUUUUAUAGACAACUUGUUGACUAUGAUUUGUCUUGUAGCUUACUCGCUUAUGUUAUUUUACCUACGCUUAGGAUGUUGAGCGCAUGUCUCUCUCU
rnacentral:rRNA from 1 species